rnacentral:rRNA from 1 species
GACGUAGGGGGCAAGCGUUGUUCGGAAUUAUUGGGCGUAAAGCGCUCGUAGGCGGGACUGGAAGUCCGUGUUGAAAGACCUCGGCUCAACUGAGGGACCGGCUCGGAUACUCUAGUUCUUGAGGCAAUCAGAGGGUGAUGGAAUUCCCGGUGUAGCGGUGAAAUGCGCAGAUAUCAGGAAGAACACCCGUGGCUAAGGCGGCUCUCUAGUACGGUACUGACGCUGAGACGCGAAAGCGUGGGGAGCGAACAGG